AACGCACCUUGCGCCCCUUGGUAUUCCGAGGGGCACACCCGUUUGAGUGUCGUGAAAAUCUCAACCUUCUCGGUUUCUUUCGAACGCCGAAGGAGGCUUGGACUUUGGAGGCCUUUGCUGGCCCUUCUCUUUUGAAGGCCAGCUCCUCUUAAAUGAAUUAGUGGGGUCCUCUUUGCCGAUCCUUGACGCGUGAUAAGACGUUUCCGUGUCUUGGCUUCUGGCUCUGUUGCUUUUGGGACCUGCUUCUAACCGCGAGAGCGUGUCUCCCUUCUCGGGAAACGCUCUCGACCCCACGAACCCUUGACCUCAAAUCGGGUGAGGCUACCCGCUGAACUUAA
rnacentral:rRNA from 1 species